rnacentral:misc_RNA from 1 species
AGUGCAACCUUCCAUGGAACAUCCCAUGCCGCAUCAAUGAAUCAACCACCAGCACCUCAUUCAAUGAGAUCAAGACGGACACCAACAUGGGCUCGACCUCGGAACUCUAAUGAUGGAUAUUCAAGUGAUUCGAUACUGAAACAUGCAUCUAGCGAUUUCAAGAAGAUGGGCCAGCGUAUUUUUGUAUUUAUUGUUGGUGGAGCUACCAGAUCUGAGCUAAGGGUAUGUCACAAGCU